UGAAUACGAGACGCUAAGGCGUCGAAGUAGUGUAUAUCAGACUUCCAAGAAAAGCUUGCACUGUCAUAGAUAAAAAAUGCCUGUACCAUAACCGACACAGGUGGGUAGGUAGAGUAUACUAAGGGGCGCGAGAUAACUCUCUCUAAGGAACUCGGCAAAAUAACUCCGUAACUUCGGGAGAAGGAGUGCCUUAUUUAUAAGGUUGCAAUAACAAGAUCCAAGCAACUGUUUAUCAAAAACACAGGUCUCCGCUAAGUCGUAAGACGAUGUAUGGGGGCUGACGCCUGCCCAGUGCCAGAAGGUUAAAGAAGUUGGUUAGCAAUUGCGAAGCUGAUAACUGAAGCCCUGGUGAACGGCGGCCGUAACUAUAACGGUCCUAAGGUAGCGAAAUUCCUUGUCGGGUAAGUUCCGACCCGCACGAAAGGCGUAAUGAUUUGGAUACUGUCUCGGAGAGGGGCUCGGUGAAAUAGACUUGUCUGUGAAGAUGCGGACUACCUGCACCAGGACAGAAAGACCCUAUGAAGCUUUACUGUAACUUGAAAUUGAAAUUGGACUUUAUUCGCGCAGCAUAGGUGGGAGGCGUUGAUUAUAAUCUUGCGGGAUUAUUGGAGCCAUCAGUGAGAUACCACUCUUGUAAUGUUAGAUUUCUAACUUUGAAUCAUUAUCUGGUCAAAGAACAGUUUCAGGCGGGCAGUUUGACUGGGGCGGUCGCCUCCUAAAUGGUAACGGAGGCGUACAAAGGUUUCCUCUGAACGGUUAGAAAUCGUAUCUAGAGUGUAAAGGCAUAAGGAAGCUUGACUGUGAGACCUACAAGUCGAGCAGGGACGAAAGUCGGUCUUAGUGAUCUGACGGUACUGAGUGGAAAGGCCGUCACUCAACGGAUAAAAGUUACUCUAGGAUAACAGGCUGAUCUCCCCCAAGAGUUCACAUCGACGGGGAGGUUUGGCACCUCGAUGUCGGCUCAUCGCAUCCUGGGGCGGUAGUACGUCCCAAGGGUUGGGCUGUUCGCCCACGAAAGCGGUACGCGAGCUGGGUUCAGAACGUCGUGAGACAGUUCGGUCCAUAUCCGGUGUAGGCGUUAGAAUAUUGAGAGGAGCCUUCUUUAGUACGAGAGGACCGAGAAGGACAUACCUCUGGUGUACCAGUUAUCGUGCCAACGGUAAACGCUGGGUAGCUAUGUAUGGAGUGGAUAACCGCUGAAAGCAUCUAAGUGGGAAGCCCACCUCAAGAUAAG
rnacentral:rRNA from 1 species